UUAGCAUAUGUUUUGAAUCAUUGCUAGCCUUAUUAGAGUAUGUUUUUGUCAAGAUUCGAAUUUAAUAUUACUUAUCAACUAAGAAAACAACAAGAUUUGUCUUAUGCCCUUUCUAGACGUUCUUAUUUUAUACCAAAAGAGGGAGAAGCAGCUUUUGACUAACAAAAGAUAAUUUCACUGAAGCUAAAAUAAUUUCAUUUCCAAGCAAUGAAAUCAACAUUGAUUAUUGAUUUGACUUUUUUCAAGCAGAUCCAAGUAAGUAUGUCCUCAGAUCUUUUUGUUUAUGAUAUUAAAAAUAAUUCUACUAAAUCUCAAGAUACUUC
rnacentral:lncRNA from 1 species